rnacentral:rRNA from 1 species
GUAUGAAGAAGGCCUUCGGGUUGUAAAGUACUUUCGGUAAUGAGGAAGGUGGUGUAUCUAAUAGGUGCAUUAAUUGACGUUAAUUACAGAAGAAGCACCGGCUAACUCCGUGCCAGCAGCCGCGGUAAUACGGAGGGUGCGAGCGUUAAUCGGAAUGACUGGGCGUAAAGGGCAUGUAGGCGGAUAAUUAAGUUAGGUGUGAAAGCCCUGGGCUCAACCUAGGAAUUGCACUUAAAACUGGUUAACUAGAGUAUUGUAGAGGAAGGUAGAAUUCCACGUGUAGCGGUGAAAUGCGUAGAGAUGUGGAGGAAUACCGGUGGCGAAGGCGGCCUUCUGGACAGAUACUGACGCUGAGAUGCGAAAGCGUGGGGAGCAAACAGGAUUAGAUACCCUGGUAGUCCACGCUGUAAACGAUGUCGAUUUGGAGUUUGUUGCCCUGAGUGAUGGGCUCCGAAGCUAACGCGAUAAAUCGACCGCCUGGGGAGUACGGCCGCAAGGUUAAAACUCAAAUGAAUUGACGGGGGCCCGCACAAGCGGUGGAGCAUGUGGUUUAAUUCGAUGCAACGCGAAGAACCUUACCUGGUCUUGACAUCCACAGAAUCUUGCAGAGAUGCGAGAGUGCCUUCGGGAACUGUGAGACAGGUGCUGCAUGGCUGUCGUCAGCUCGUGUUGUGAAAUGUUGGGUUAAGUCCCGCAACGAGCGCAACCCUUAUCCUUUGUUGCCAGCGGUUUGGCCGGGAACUCAAAGGAGACUGCCGUUGAUAAAGCGGAGGAAGGUGGGGACGACGUCAAGUCAUCAUGGCCCUUACGACCAGGGCUACACACGUGCUACAAUGGCGUAUACAAAGGGAGGCGACCUCGCGAGAGCAAGCGGACCUCACAAAGUACGUCUAAGUCCGGAUUGGAGUCUGCAACUCGACUCCAUGAAGUCGGAAUCGCUAGUAAUCGUGAAUCAGAAUGUCACGGUGAAUACGUUCCCGGGCCUUGUACACACCGCCCGUCACACCAUGGGAGUGGGUUGCACCAGAAGUAGAUAGCUUAACCGCAAGGGGGGCGUUUACC